UUUACCGAUGUGGUUGUCCUCGAUGUGCUCGAUGAGGUCGGCCAGGGUGGGGAAGUGGAGUCCGCAGCCCCCGAAUCGGCAGAGAUGGAGUUUUGCCAUUUGCCCAGGCUGGACUCGCAGUCCUGGACUCAACCACCUUGGCCUCCCAAAGUGCUGGGAUUACAGAUCAUUAACCUUGGGGAAGUCACUCAGUCUCUCUGAGACUUCUUACCUACACACUGGAUUUAACAGUACAGAUCCUACCCAGCUUCUGGGGAUGAAAUGAAAUGCUGCAUGUGAAAACACACUGGAAACUAUAAAAUGCUAAUCAAAGAUGAGAGCACAACAUGACAGCCGGAGCAACAGUAGCUAUCUUAUGAAUGUGAGAAUGUGGAUCAUACUAGAUUGAUGAACUGCAAUUGCCCUAUCAGCCCAGCACUGCCUACUUCUGGAAUUCUCGUUGUGUGUGAGAAAAAUAAAUUCCUAUUUAUUUAA
rnacentral:lncRNA from 1 species